AUUGAACGCUAGCGGGAUGCUUUACACAUGCAAGUCGAACGGCAGCGCGGACUUCGGUCUGGCGGCGAGUGGCGAACGGGGAAGUAAUGUAUCGGAACGUGCCCAGUAGCAGGGGAUAACUCCGCGAAAGCGUAGCUAAUACCGCAUACGCUCUACGGGGAAAAGCAGGGGAUCGUAAGACCUUGCACUAUUAGAGCGCCCGGUAGCGUAUUAGCUAGUUGGUGAGGUAACGGCUCACCAAGGCGACGAUGCGUAGCUGGCUUGAGAGGACGACCAGCCACACUGGGACUGAGACACGGCCCAGACUCCUACGGGAGGCAGCAGUGGGGAAUUUUGGACAAUGGGCGCAAGCCUGAUCCAGCCAUCCCGCGUGUGCGAUGAAGGCCUUCGGGUUGUAAAGCACUGUUGGUAGGAAAGAAACGUCGCGUGCUAAUACCCCGUGGAACUGACGGUACCUGAAGAAUAAGCACCGGCUAACUACGUG
rnacentral:rRNA from 1 species